AGCAUGUUGGCCUAAUUGGCAAGGCUAGUACUACGGAUAUGUCAUGAUGCAAGUUCGAGUCUUGUACGUGCUU
rnacentral:tRNA from 1 species